rnacentral:rRNA from 1 species
GACGUAGGGCGCAAGCGUUGUCCGGAUUUAUUGGGCGUAAAGAGCUCGUAGGCGGCUUGUCGCGUCGACUGUGAAAACCCGAGGCUCAACCUCGGGCCUGCAGUCGAUACGGGCAAACUAGAGUACUGCAGGGGAGACUGGAAUUCCUGGUGUAGCGGUGAAAUGCGCAGAUAUCAGGAGGAACACCGGUGGCGAAGGCGGGUCUCUGGGCAGUAACUGACGCUGAGGAGCGAAAGCGUGGGGAGCGAACAGG